rnacentral:tRNA from 1 species
GCUUUCAUAGUGUAACGGUAGCACAUUCGGCGCGCAUUCGAAAGUUCCAGGUUCGAGUCCCGGCGAGCGCA